GCGCCCGUAGCUCAGCUGGAUAGAGCGCUGGAUUUCUAAUCCGGUGGUCGGGGGUUCGAGUCCCUCCGGGCGUGCCA
rnacentral:tRNA from 1 species